rnacentral:rRNA from 1 species
AUGGCAGCAGCAAGAUCGUGCACAAACCCCUGCUGGUCGGACCUCCCGACCGAUCUCCUCGCGAGCAUCGUGCAACUCCUCCAGCUCCCGGGAGCGCUCGCCUUCGCGUCCGUCUGCACGUCGUGGCGCGCGGCCGCCGGCGACAUCCCGCAUCCGCGCACGCCAUGGCUCUUGUCCUGGGAAGAAAACCCACACCCGGCCGUCGGGCGGAGCCGCUCCGCCGUGACCUGCAAGUUUCGCAACCUCCUCGACGCCGACAGGGUUCACAGUCUCACGUUCCCCGAGGCCUCCUUCGUCACCUGCUGCGGCGCCUCCAACGGGUGGCUGGUGGUGGUGGACGAGCUCUGCAACCUCUCGCUCCACAACCCCUUCACCUCGCAGACCAUCGCUCUGCCGCCGGUCACCGACUUCCCGUGCGUGACGGCCGUCGUGCACGACGACCAGGGGAAAAUCAAGGCUUACCGUCUCAGCAGGAGCUCGGGCCAGUACAUCGACGCACAGCAGUACGACGCGUACCAUCUGGCCACGUUUUUCUACCGGAAGGCGGAGCUGUCCGGCGACCCGUCCGGGGGCGGCGACUACGCCGUCACGGUCGUCCACUUCGGCGGCAGGUGGAUCUCCCGCGUCAGGGCGGGGGACACCAGGUGGCGGGUGCUGGUCGCCAACAGAUUCAUCUGGGGCCACGGCCACCCGGACGCCUACGCCGACUGCGCGUACCACAAGAGGAGCGUGUACGCCGUGACGUACCAGGGGAUCGUCGAGCGGUGGCCCCUCGACGACGCCGGCGCCGGGACACCAUCGGAGAAGCAGGAGGAGGUUGUGCAAGACCGUCGGCUGCGCGACGCCGUCCUCAGCAGGCACCUCGUGGUCUCGCCGGGCGGCGGCGGGCUGUGGAUGGUGAGCGCGGUGUGGGAGCCCGGGCGCGCGGAGUACCCGGACGCCGUCAGGUUCACGUUCCGCGUGGUCGAUGAGGAUGACGAUGACGCCGGGGGCGAGGGGGAGCGGGAGUCGGUGCAGGCGCACGCGCUGUUCCUCGGGAUGAACCGGCCGGCGUGGCUCCCCACCGGCACUGGGAGCUUCCCCGGCGUGAGGCCCGGUGUGCUCUACUUCUCCGCGCCAUGGAUGCGGCAGUACUCUCCAAAACUGCUCGAGUUGGUGGGCGACUGGGGAGGCGCGAGGGCCUACGGCGUCCUCAGUAGGACGAGGGCGAGGACGUUCGAGCGCGUGUUCCCCGGCUUGCUGCCUGAGUCUGCACGGCUGAUGGACUGCCCUACGGAGGUGUGGGUCACGCCCAAUCUGUACUAG